UACGUAGGUGGCAAGCGUUAUCCGGAAUUACUGGGUGUAAAGGGUUCGUAGGCGGUGCGGCAAGUUGGGAGUGAAAUCUCUGGGCUUAACCCAGAGGCUGCUUCCAAAACUGCUGUGCUUGAGUGUGGGAGAGGCGCGUGGAAUUGCAGGUGUAGCGGUGAAAUGCGUAGAUAUCUGCAGGAACACCCGUGGCGAAAGCGGCGCGCUGGACCACUACUGACGCUGAGGAACGAAAGCUAGGGGAGCAAACAGG
rnacentral:rRNA from 1 species